AAUUUUGGACAAUGGGGGCAACCCUGAUCCAGCCAUCCCGCGUGUGCGAUGAAGGCCUUCGGGUUGUAAAGCACUUUUGGCAGGGACGAAAAGGCGCAGGCUAAUACCCUGUGCUGCGGAGGGUACCUGCAGAAUAAGCACCGGCUAACUACGUCCCAUCAGCCGCGGUAAUACGUAGGGUGCAAGCGUUAAUCGGAAUUACUGGGCGUAAAGCGUGCGUCGGCGGUUUGGCAAGAAAGGUGUGAAAUCCCAGAGCUUAACUUUGGAACUGCACUUUUAACUGCCAGGCUAGAAUAUGUCAGAGGGGGGUAGAAUUCCGCGUGUAGCAGUGAAAUGCGUAGAGAUGCGGAGGAAUACCGAUGGCGAAGGCAGCCCCCUGGGAUAAUACUGACGCUCAGGCACGAAAGCGUGGGGAGCAAACAG
rnacentral:rRNA from 1 species